GACGAACGCUGGCGGCGUGCCUAAUACAUGCAAGUAGAACGCUGAAGAGAGGAGCUUGCUCUUCUUGGAUGAGUUGCGAACGGGUGAGUAACGCGUAGGUAACCUGCCUUGUAGCGGGGGAUAACUAUUGGAAACGAUAGCUAAUACCGCAUAACAAUGGAUGACACAUGUCAUUUAUUUGAAAGGGGCAAUUGCUCCACUACAAGAUGGACCUGCGUUGUAUUAGCUAGUAGGUGAGGUAAUGGCUCACCUAGGCGACGAUACAUAGCCGACCUGAGAGGGUGAUCAGCCGCACUGGGACUGAGACACGGCCCAGACUCCUACGGGAGGCAGCAGUAGGGAAUCUUCGGCAAGGGGGGCAACCCUGACCGAGCAACGCCGCGUGAGUGAAGAAGGUUUUCGGAUCGUAAAGCUCUGUUGUAAGUCAAGAACGGGUGUGAGAGUGGAAAGUUCACACUGUGACGGUAGCUUACCAGAAAGGGACGGCUAACUACGUG
rnacentral:rRNA from 1 species